rnacentral:rRNA from 1 species
UACGUAGGUGACGAGCGUUAUCCGGAAUUACUGGGCGUAAAGCGCACGCAAGCGGUUGGACAAGUCUGGCGUGAAAUCUCCUGGCUUAACUAGGAGCGGUCGCUGGAAACUGUUCGGCUUGAGGCGAUGAGAGGGGUGCAGAAUUCCCGGUGUAGUGGUGGAAUGCGUAGAGAUCGGGAGGAAUACCAGUGGCGAAAGCGGCGCCCUGGCGUCGUACUGACGCACAUGUGCGAAAGCGUGGGGAGCGAACGGG